rnacentral:lncRNA from 1 species
AGGACUUAUUAUAACAUCAGCUUGGUAUGGAAAAUUUACUUCCGACUUUUCAUGUAAUGCUACACUGUCUCAGCUAACAAAUGUUACAAUUCCUGUUCAAUGUUUGGUUAGAGAUUCAAAAUUGAUUCUUACAGAUGCAACAAAGUCUCAGUUAAAUGGAUUCUAUGAUCCAUGCCCAGGAGAAGAUAAAUAUCUGAAAAUUUCUUAUGAAUUUCGUGAUGCUGUUCACGAGGCUGUAUUUAGCGAUACUGAACAUGUUCGAAUACCAAAGCAAUCUCAUCGCAUCUCGACGAAAAUUAGCUAGAGUCCAUAAGUUGCGCUUAUUUGCCAUGCUACGACUUCAAAUAUUGCAGGUGUUGAUGUGUAUCUCGGAAUUUUGUAAAAAAAUAUAUUUUUUUAACAGUAAUAAAGCUUUCCGUUUAAACA